UACCUAGAAAAUCAAAAAAAUUAAAACUUCAAAUUCUUUUUUUCAAAAACUCAAUCUUCUUCAUCUCUUAUUCAAUUAAAAAUCCAUAAAUUCCCAAAUGAUUUUUUUUUUCUUAUUUAAACUAAUUUCAUCAUCCAGAACCUUCUUUUCUUCAUCGGCAUCAUAAGUAUCACAUUUUCAAUCCAUUGAGUAUUGUUUUUGUUUUGUCUCUAUCAAAUUCGGUUCAAUUCAAUGGCAGGUUCAUCUCAAACCACUGUCCUUGUUACCGGUGUUGGUGGUCGCACAGAUUCAAGAAGUUGAGGACUGAUAUGUGUAAUCUGUCCCAAAUUGAAUGUUUAAUUUAUGUACAAUAAAAUUAAAAUGAAUCGAAUAAUUAUAUGGCACUUGGAUCAGAAGGUUAAGAUUUUGAGGUUGGAAAGGGAAGAUAUUGAAGAAGGAAUAAAGCAGAGAAGCUGCAGGAUAAAGAUUGUUGUAGUUUUUAAUUUUUAUUUUUAGGAAAUUAAAAAAAUAUGGAAAGACAAUAAGAAAUUAUCAUAUGUUUGUGUCUUUAUUGUAUA